AGUGAACGCCGGCGGUAGGCCUAACACAUGCAAGUCGUACGGCAGCACAGGAGAGCUUGCUCUCUGGGUGGCGAGUGGCGGACGGGUGAGGAAUACAUCGGAAUCUACUUUUUCGUGGGGGAUAACGUAGGGAAACUUAAGCUAAUACCGCAUACGACCUACGGGUGAAAGCAGGGGACCUUCGGGCCUUGCGCGAUUGAAUGAGCCGAUGUCGGAUUAGCUAGUUGGCGGGGUAAAGGCCCACCAAGGCGACGAUCCGUAGCUGGUCUUCGAGGAUGACCAGCCACACUGUAACUGAGACACGGUCCAAACUCCUACGGGAAGCAUCAUUGGGGAAUAUUGGACAAUGGGCGCAAACCUGAUCCAGCCAUACCGCGUGGGUUAAGAAGGCCUACGGGGUGUAAAGCCCUUUUGUUGGGAAAGAAAUCCAGCUGGCUAAUACCCGGUUGGGAUGACGGUACCCAAAGAAUAAGCACCGGCUAACUUCGUGCCAGCAGCCGCCGUAA
rnacentral:rRNA from 1 species